CUCAAAUUUGAAAUCUGGUACCUUUGGUGCCCGAGUUGUAAUUUGGAGAGUACCACUUUGGGACUGUACUUUGCCUAUGUUCCUUGGAACAGGACGUCAUGGAGGGUGAGAAUCCCGUGUGGCGAGGGUGUCAGUUCUUUGUAAAGGGUGCUCGAAGAGUCGAGUUGUUUGGGAAUGCAGCUCUAAGUGGGUGGUAAAUUCCAUCUAAAGCUAAAUACAGGCGAGAGACCGAUAGCGAACAAGUACAGUGAUGGAAAGAUGAAAAGAACUUUGAAAAGAGAGUGAAAAAGUACGUGAAAUUGUUGAAAGGGAAGGGCAUUUGAUCAGACAUGGUGUUUUGCGCCCCUUGCCUCUCGUGGGCUUGGGACUCUCGCAGCUCACUGGGCCAGCAUCGGUUUUGGCGGCCGGAAAAAACCUAGGGAAUGUGGCUCUGCGCCUCGGUGUAGAGUGUUAUAGCCCUGGGGAAUAC
rnacentral:rRNA from 1 species